UCCCAGAGCCUCCUGCGUUUCCAUGGGACGCCCGGGCCGGAUAUGAUGUCUUCGUAGAGAAAGAAGGAAGAGGUGGAGCGGGGGGCGGUGACGUCCUUCCAAGAUGGCGGCGAGAGCGUGAAGAAACUGUUCCCCCUUGGUUUGCUCUAGAACAAGGGUAAAAUUCCAUUCUGAUACCAAAAUGCAGUAUUCGCAUCACUGUGAGCACCUUUUAGAGAGACUGAACAAACAGCGGGAAGCAGGUUUUCUUUGUGACUGCACUGUAGUGAUUGGGGAAUUCCAGUUUAAAGCUCAUAGGAAUGUGCUUGCCUCAUUUAGUGAGUAUUUUGGUGCAAUCUACAGAAGCACUUCUGAGAACAAUGUCUUCCUUGAUCAGAGUCAGGUGAAGGCUGAUGGAUUUCAGAAACUGUUGGAGUUCAUAUACACAGGAACUUUAAAUCUUGACAGUUGGAAUGUUAAAGAAAUUCACCAGGCUGCUGACUAUCUCAAGGUGGAAGAGGUGGUCACUAAAUGUAAAAUAAAGAUGGAAGAUUUUGCUUUUAUUGCUAAUCCCUCUUCUACAGAGAUAUCUAGUAUUACUGGAAACAUUGAAUUGAAUCAGCAGACUUGUCUCCUUACUCUACGAGAUUAUAACAGUCGGGAAAAAUCAGAAGUGUCUACAGAUUUAGUUCAGGCCAAUCCUAAACAAGGGGCUUUAGCAAAGAAGUCAUCUCAAACUAAAAAGAAGAAGAAGGCCUUCAACUCCCAGAAAACAGGACAGAAUAAAACAGUGCAAUAUCCCAGUGACAUUUUAGAGAACGCGUCUGUUGAAUUAUUCUUAGAUGCAAAUAAAGUAUCCACACCUGUAAUAGAUCAAGUUUCACAAAGAAAUGAUAAUUCAGAACUCGAGUUGACAUCAGUUGUGGAAAAUACUUUUCCAGCACAAGAUAUUGUGCAGACUGUUACGGUGAAACGGAAACGUGGAAAAUCACAACCCAACUGUGCUCUGAAGGAACACUCUAUGUCUAACAUAGCCAGUGUCAAGAAUUCUUACGAGCUGGAGAGCUCUGGGGAAGAGCUGGAUCAGAGGUAUUCCAAGGCCAAGCCUAUGUGUAACACAUGUGGGAAAGUGUUCUCAGAAGCCAGCAGCUUGAGAAGGCAUAUGAGAAUACAUAAAGGAGUUAAACCUUAUGUCUGCCACUUGUGUGGAAAGGCAUUUACCCAGUGUAACCAGCUGAAAACGCAUGUAAGAACUCAUACAGGUGAGAAGCCAUACAAAUGUGAAUUGUGUGAUAAAGGAUUUGCUCAGAAAUGCCAGCUGGUCUUCCAUAGUCGUAUGCAUCAUGGUGAGGAAAAACCUUAUAAAUGUGAUGUAUGCAAUUUACAGUUUGCAACUUCUAGCAAUCUCAAGAUUCAUGCAAGGAAGCAUAGUGGAGAGAAGCCAUAUGUCUGUGAUAGGUGUGGACAGAGAUUUGCUCAAGCCAGCACACUGACCUAUCAUGUUCGUAGGCAUACUGGAGAAAAGCCUUAUGUGUGUGAUACUUGUGGGAAGGCAUUUGCUGUCUCUAGUUCUCUUAUCACUCAUUCUCGAAAACAUACAGGUGAAAAACCAUACAUAUGUGGUAUUUGUGGGAAAAGUUUUAUUUCCUCAGGAGAGCUCAACAAACACUUUCGAUCCCAUACAGGAGAAAGGCCAUUUAUCUGCGAAUUAUGUGGAAAUUCUUACACAGAUAUUAAAAAUUUAAAGAAGCACAAAACAAAAGUCCAUUCCGGUGCAGAUAAAGUUCUGGAUUCUAGUAUAGAGGAUCAUCCCUUGAGUGAACAAGAUUCUAUACAAAAAAGUCCGUUAUCAGAAACAUUGGAUGUGAAACCUUCUGAUAUGACUUUACCACUAUCUCUUCCACUGGGAACUGAGGACCACCACAUCCUUCUGCCUGUCACAGAUAAUCAGUCUCCUACAUCAGAUACAUUGUUGAGAUCAACUGUGAAUGGGUAUUCAGAACCACAGUUGAUUUUUUUACAGCAGUUAUACUGACUUUGUGAGGAAUGUGGAAUUGCUAAGACGUCUCUGGUAGUAAACAUAAACAUCUCUGGAAUUUAUUGGAAUGUGAAGAAAUUAAAGAAAAUUAAAAGACUCAGCCUCUUUAAGAAGUCUGCUGAAAUGGAGAGGUUAUAUUUAUUUCAUAUCUUCAUUAAUCCAAGCAUCUAAUUAAUAAAAUUUCAAAAUCUACAGUGAUGUCAAAAUUUUAUGAGAGCAAUAGUUACCAAAUUUCCACUAAUAUGAUGGUAAUUAGCAUUUUGCAUAGAUUAGUCUUCAGACUUAUUAUUUUUAAUAUUAUUGGAUUGGAAUGGCUAAGGUUGAUUUACUGUGCUUUUUCUUCAUCACGUUAUCUGCUUCAUAGCUAAAAUAAUUCUAUUUUAAAUUGACAUGGCUUGGUGCUCUUCCAUAGUUACAUAUAAUAAGUCUCAAAGGCGGAGGUUCCUGUUUUUUCGUUCUUCUCAUAAUGCUAUACUCUUCUUUAUUAUAAUGUGGAUAUAUUUCAGUUGUAUCUGGUAUCGUCCUAACACUCAUAAUUACCAUUUUAAUUACACCCAUUUUUAAAUAUAUUUGUUACAAUGCAGUUUGCGGAAGUCUAUUCUUAAUUAAAUAUGACUACAUUUUUGAAAGUCUGUUUAGGAUGUUGAAAAUCUUACUGAGAAAUUAUUUUCUAAAAUAAUUUUGUAUGUAUUAGAUUAUUGCUACUGUAUUGUUAGACUGUAGACUUUUAAAAAAGAAACCAUAGAUUAUAUAUAAAUGAUUUUUUGCUGUUUUUAAAUGGUAUUUGUUUUAUGUUUAAUUUCAUAGGUUGAUUUUGAUAGACAACCUUUAGAAAAAAAUUUUUUAAAGAAAAGGUUCUAUCGUUCUCUUGUAAAAGUAGUUUAUUACUUCUGUAUGUUUCAGUUCUGCGGAAAUUGUACAAAUGAGAAUAGUUGAAAUGUACAUUUAUAAAGACAAUGUACAUGUUCUUGUUUUUUAAAAUUAUCCUAGAAUAACUGUUCUGACAUUUGAUGCAUAUCAGAAACAUUUUAAAAAUAACACUAGCCAAGCCCCACCCUUCCUUAGGCCUUUGGGAUGUACAAGCUAGAAAAUCUCCACGGGUGUUUUAAUGUAACCAGAUUUUGAGAACUGAUAGCCUAAAUGUUUCUUGGUUUUCUUUUGGGAAGCAUUUAAAAUUGAAGCUCUUGAUAGAAAUUUCCAUCUUAUACUCAGAUUUUUGAGGCUUUAGAAUUUACCUAGAAAUACAACCUAGUAGAUUCUACAUUUUUACUCAUUAUUUAUGAACAGUAUGGAGAUUUAGUUACUGGAGCAUUAAUUUCUUGAGACAGUGAUAUGGUUACUCUUUGAUUCUCUGCAACCCCUGCCCCAUUCAUUUAAGAGAGAUUUGGUAUAUUUGCUUAAGGAAUUUGGUGAUUAUCAGGUAGACAUAAUAACGAUCUAGAAAUAAGGUAUUUAAUUUCAAGAGGAAUAUACUAAAGUAAACAUCAUGGAUGUGAACAUCUAUUUGGAUUAAAAUGUCUGGCCAGUAUUUCAGAUACUGGAAAAUUGAGAUCAGGAUACAUAAACCUAACAAAGAUAAAUGCCACCUAACAAAGAUAAAUGCCACCCUUAAGUCAAAUGGGAAAGACAGGCCUGACUAUAAUGGCAGUAAAACAAGGCAGAACGUCAAGUGUUAAUGGGGGAAGACAAGGAAGGAACUACGGAGUAGUCAGUGAGAGUUGAAUGGACAGAAAAAGGGCCAUUGUUCCCCUGCAUAGACAAACCAGAAGAGAUGGAUGAUGGUGAUGGGAAGGAAUGUGUACACAGCUAACUGAAAUAGGCCAAAUGAAGAAAGUAUGAAACGGAGGAGCUAGGAGUCAAAGACAUAUCCAGCGCUAUGCCUGCACCAUCUUACAGGAAAUAGUCCUCUGUCCUUAACCUGUGCUGAAGGAGUAGGAUUGGAUAACUAGGUUUGUAACUCCUAUAAUCUCACACACCCAAGCACAGUUGACUGCUGAAGGGCAGGGAUUAGAGGAUUAGACAGCCAUAUUUAUAACAAAUGAUUCCAUAUCGAUGUCCAGAGCUUAAUUGAACACCUUACGAGGGAGAAACCGUUCUUAAGUCUGACUGAGCUAGUUAGAGUCUCAAUAAUUUGAGCUCUGAAAUUCAGAGACUGUUAUGUUUUGGCAUACGUGUAAGUGAAAAGAUCAUUUAGAACUGGGCCAGUGUGAAGCAAGUCGAAAUAUAAAGGAAAUGAUGAAUAAGCAGAGAAAGCUGAUCUAUAGAGUGAAGCAAUGGAAUGAAAUAGGUUCACAGAACCAAGCCACUGAUUGCCUGUGAGAGAUUGGUGUGGCCUUGGUGUCUGGCUUUGCAGUCCCAUUCUUGAGCUGGCUUAGCUUUAUGCUUCAUUUCCUUGUCCCUGGGUGCCAGUGAUUUUUUCCUGUUACAUCCAUACAGUAAACCCCCCUUUUCUUAGACAGUCUUGAGUCCGUUUCUUUUCCUUGUGGCUAGCCCUGACUUAGACACCUUAAGUUUUGAUCCUUAAUGAUUAAGAAGGUGGUGAUGCCAUUAACUAUGAUAGGGAAGAUAAGGAAGAAGUUUAUGGCAGAGAAGACUUUAUUUUAGAUGCACUGAAUUUGAUUGGUGGUACAAUAGCUUUGUGAAAAUGUCUAGCAGUACUUGGAAAUGGAGUCCCAAAUCCAGGAGUGGUUAAAGCUAGGGAUACGGAUCUUGUAGCAUAAGGCUAAUAAUUAUUGUAAUAGAAAUGAUUAAGGCAGCCCUGGGAUAUGGUAAAGAACAAAAGCUAAGAAAAUCUUUGGGGAAAUACAUUUAAAGAACGAGCAAAAAAUAGGAGUGCCUGGGUGCCUCAGUUAAGCAUCUCACUUUUGAUGUCAGUUCAGGCCUUGAUCUCAGGGUUGUAAAUUUAAGACCCGCUUUGGCUCCACACUGGGUGUGGAUCCUACUUUUAAAAAAUGAGCAAAAGAUAAAAAAGGAGAUUAAAAGGUGGAAGAACACCAGGGUAGUGCAAGUUUUAAGAAGACAAGUGAUUUUGUACUGGUCAUACAGUACAGAGAAAUUAAAUAGGGUGCAAAUCAAAGACAACUUUGGGUUGGGUAAUGGGGGCAUGAUGAUCCUUGGAGAAGGCAGUUGUAGUAAUAGCAGGAGUAGAAGUUAGGUGGAUAUGGUUUGAGUAGUUAAGACAUUGAAUACUACUAUUUAGCUGAAAAGCAGUGUGGUGCAGGAUCAUUUUUUGUCAAAUACGUAAAAAAUACAAAGCACAUUAUUACUUGUUUUCACAUCUCAAACACUACAAUGAUCAGCAUAAUAUGAUUUGCAACACUGUAAUCAGAGGCUGUAUUUUCGAGCCUGAUCUUGAAAGUGGAAGGAAACUUUAUAUGGUUGCAGAUUUACUCACUGCAGUUCAGGUGUGCAGAGGAAGUGGAGUUUCUGACAACUUGAAUUUCUUUCCUCUUGAGCUCACACCCCAUGGGAAGUCAGGAAAAAAUCAACUUUUUGUCUGAGCCAGUUUAAAACUUAGUCUGAUAAAAAGGAGAUACAAUUUAUAAGAUUUUGAGGUAAUGCUUAAACUUUUGGGAAAAUGCUCUUAUUUCUAUCCUUUGUCUCCUCUUUAAACUGGUGUCCAGGUAUAUGAAGGGGACUUACGUGAUACAAUGUUAUCAGGGAGACAGCGUCUUCAGUUCUUCAUUCUCUGGGCAUCCUACUGGCCUCUGAUGCAGUAGGCCACAGCUUGUGAAAUAUGCGAUCAGGUUUUUCCUAGCUUGGUCAGAACCCAGUAGUUCUUGACUGAGUUGGCCUCACCUUAGUUCCAAGAAAUGUGGAGAACUCUCACACUUCUGCAGCUCUGUCUCAAGCAGGCCGGUAUAGAUCAGGAUGCAGGUUUCACCUGUGCUACCUUCCUGCAGGCUCAAAGUAAGCCUUUUUUCUUCCCAUUCAUGAGCUUUCUUCCCACUCAGCUACCUUCUGAGUUUCCCCUUGAGAGAAUAUAGAAACUCUUGGGUCUUCUCCAUACCACAGAAGAACAAAGAUUAGCCUAGACAAACAAAUCUCAUUACCAAGAUUUACUUUCAUGUGACUGUGCCCUGCUUAGCCUGCUGAGAGGCCAUCUCAUUCCAGAAUCCUAUAAACUCCUCUACUACCCAGCAUAUUACAGAUAUUUCAACGCAAUAAAAGAUGGACUGUUGCUACAUUAAACAUGAAUGAAUCACGUUAAUGUUGUUCAAAAGAAGUCAGACACAGUAUACUGUUAAGAUUCAGUUUAUAUAAAAUUUAAAAGCAGGCAAAACUACUUGUGAUGUUAGAAGGCAAGAGAGUGGUGCGUGUUGGAAGAAGUUUGGAAGAGCUUCUGGAAGCAUGUGGCAUUUACUGUCUUUAAGUCAUGGCUGACAUGGGUGGGUUAGCUUUGUGGUAACUCGUUUACCUGUUCAGUUAAGAUUUGUGUACUUUUCAAGGGGUGCCUGGGUGGGUCAUUAGGUUAAACAUCCAACUCUUGAUCUCAACUUAGGCCCUGAGCACAGACCCUGAUCUCUGAGUGGUGAGUUCAAGCCCCAUAUUGGGCUCCACGCU